rnacentral:rRNA from 1 species
AUGAGUCUACUAUGUUGGAACUGCCGGGGGGUGGAGAACCGCCGGACAGUUCGUGAGGUGUUGGCCCUUGCAAUAACCAACAUCCCCAAGUUUCUCUUUCUAUGUGAGACAAGGAAAACUAAAGAGAAGAUGGAGAAGCUUAAAUGAAGGCUGGGCUUAAAGGGUUUCUGUGGUGUUAGUAGUAAGGGAAGAAGUGGUGGUUUGGCCCUUUUUUGGGACGAAUCGUUAAUGGUGACUGUAUUGGAUAGUUGUGCACGCUACAUUGAUGUGCAGGUGACGGACAAUGGUACUGAUGUUAGCUGGCGAGAUACCUUUGCGUGUACGGCGAACCACGGCCGGAAAAUUGUCAUUUAA